rnacentral:rRNA from 1 species
UACGAGGGGGGCAAAUGUUGUUCGGAAUCACUGGGCGUAAAGGGAGCGUAGGCGGGUGUUUAAGUUAGGUGUUUAAUCCCGGGGCCCAACCCCGGACAGGCACCUAAAACUGGACAUCUUGAAUAGUGGAGAGGACGACGGAAUUGGGGGUGUAGCGGUGGAAUGCGUAGAGAUCCCCAAGAACACCAGUUGCGAAGGCGGUCGUCUGGACACAUAUUGACGCUGAGGCUCGAAAGCAUGGGGAGCAAACAGGAUUAGAUACCCUGGUAGUCCAUGCUAUAAACGAUGAAUACUAGGUUUUAGGCCCGUCAACGGUCUAGAGCCGCAGCUAACGCGUUAAGUAUUCCGCCUGGGGAGUACGCUCGCAAGAGUGAA